UGGAUAGUAGCUUAAUGGUAGAGCCGGAGUAGGGGGCCAACCGAAACGAAAAGGAGCGCAAAUCUCCGUGGCUAUAGUAUGCCUAAUAUGUGGGUUCAAUUCCCGCCUAUCCAU
rnacentral:tRNA from 1 species